AGUCUGCAGAUCGCGACAAGAGCCGCCAAGGACAGCCCAGCCAGGACGUCGCGUCGAAUUCAACAACAAUGGACGCAAGGCAUAGUCGCCCUGAUCAUCACGCUGCACACGGGGAUCACGAGGUAAAGAAUCGAGUUUAAGGUGGCUCCUUACAGCUGUCGAGAAAUUGCAUAAAAAAUAAAGUCUGCACAAUGACGCGAAAUAAUUUUCUAUUUAUGCAAAAUUAGGAAAGUAUCAACGGAAAGUAUAAACGCUUGUGCAAUCUUUAUACUUGAAGUACAUUUGAUCAAAAGAAACAAAUUAUGUGUUGGUAUGACGGGAUUCCGUUUAAAUUACACUUAUUGAUUUAAUAUGAAAUAUCAAUUUUAAAAGAACAUUAUUAACACGAUAUUGAACGUAAACCCGUAUAAAGACACCGUAGAAAACUGGGAAACAACAUACGUACAGUUUGAAUUUCAAAAUAUAUGUUGGAUAUAACUUGAAAUAAAAUACUGAAUAUUUUACCUGUUCUAGGCCCGUUUUUUUAAUUUCAUCACUACCAUGAAUGUAUAAUCAACAAUAUAAAUUAAAAAUAAAACUUUUUGCUACAACAUGCAUAUUGCCAGCUUUAAUUGGCAUGCGUUGCAAUCUUUCCAGCCGUGUAUUUUUUACUUUGUAUACGUUUUGGUACGUAAUCGUACCUGAAUGCCUGCACGCCUUCAAUUUUCGAGCUCGAAUUAACUUAUAAUAUUAACCAUAUAUUACUACAUAUUUAAUUUAGUCUGCGGAUCGAGGCAAGAGCCGCCAAGGGCCGCCCAGCCAGGACAUCGCGUCGAAUUCAGCAACAAUGAACGCAAUGGAUAGUCGCCCUGAUCAUCACGCUGCACACGGGAAUCACGAGGUAAAGAAUCGAGAUUAAGGUGGCUCCUUGCAUGCAGCUGUUGAGAAAUGGCAUAAAAAAUAGAGUCUUCACAACUGCCCGAAAUAAUUUGCUAUUUAUGAAAAAUAUAGAAAGUUAAACGGAAAGCA